CAGUCGUACCUGCGGAUAAUCAGCUUUUUGAGUGUGAUUAUGUGGUUUAUGAGGAGUUUAACCGCCUUCAUGUAUUGCAUAUUUGUGCUCUUGGGUGUACUUGUCUGUGUGGUAGGUUAACAUCAAUUUCGGUCGUCAUAAAAUGAUUGGAGGAAUGUAGCUUUGGUCUCGUAUCGAAGUGUUAUAGCCUUCGGUAGAUGUGAUGAUCGGGAUUGAGGAUUGCAACGGAUACCCUUCGGGGCUACCUGUCCUGGUCUCUGAUCGUUGCUCUGGUGCCGAAAGCUUGCUUACGGUCAUCGAAAG
rnacentral:rRNA from 1 species